CCUACGUGAGGCAGCAGUGGGGAAUAUUGCACAAUGGGGGAAACCCUGAUGCAGCGACGCCGCGUGAGUGAAGAAGUAUUUCGGUAUGUAAAGCUCUAUCAGCAGGGAAGAAAAUGACGGUACCUGAUUAAGAAGCCCCGGCUAACUUCGUGCCAGCAGCCGCGGUAAUACGUAGGGGGCAAGCGUUAUCCGGAUUUACUGGGUGUAAAGGGAUCGUAGACGGCAGCACAAGUCUGGAGUGAAAUGCCGGGGCUUAACCCCGGAACUGCUUUGGAAACUGUGCAGCUAGAGGGAAGGAGAGGUAAGUGGAAUUCCUAGUGUAGCGGUGAAAUGCGUAGAUAUUAGGAGGAACACCAGUGGCGAAGGCGGCUUACUGGACUGUAACUGACGUUGAGGCUCGAAAGCGUGGGGAGCAAACAGGAUUAGAUACCCCAGUAGUC
rnacentral:rRNA from 1 species